rnacentral:miRNA from 1 species
GCCAAAUGCUUUCAAAUGCCAAUUUAUAUUAAGCUCGCCCCAUUCCUCUGUCAUUUUUCGUGCGCCGCAAGCACUCAAUGAAAUCAUCGAGUGCUUGCGGCGCGCGACAAAUGACAGAGGAAUGGGGCGAGCUUAAUAUAAAUUGGCAUUUGGAAGCAUUUG